CCCUCGUGGAGGUGGGUUUUUUUAGCGAGCUGGGAGAGCUCUCAAGUACACAAGCCAUGUUAAAGCGCUGCCGUGGCCUGUGAAAGAAAUACCUGUAGGUUUGAGCUCUAAGCAAGGGCAGCCUGUCUUCAAGAACCACUGCAAUCUGCCAAAAAAACAACAUUUAGGUUGAGUACGUCCCUCCCCGUCUGUGUGCUGGAGGAGGCUUGAGGACCUGACUCAGCAGGACAGUGCAAGGGAGCCCAGGCUGGUGGAACAGUCAGUCUCAGUGGUCCUUCUGUACAUCAGGUGGCACCCCGGAGGGGGGGCAACCCAUCACACUGGCAAGACUAUAGAUGAAGAUCCCAAUUCAGUAAAGCUCUUCAGCACAUGAUUAAGUUGUGCUAGCUUAAACUGCAAAGAGAGAAGAGAAAGCAUGAGAGAGACAGCAAAGAAAGUCAUCCAUCUCACUGACCUCCGAGAUGGAUAACCUGCUUCAUUCUUUACUGAAACUGUGGUGGCAGCAGCAUUGAGGAUGGAACUGGAGAAAGCAAUCUAUUUACCAAGGAAUCAUCAUGUUCCCUGCAGCUCCUCUUGCAGCGCUGCAAAUACUCCAGGAUCAUGCACCCUGUGCUUGCAAUGCUCAUGACAAUCGAUGCUUCUGCAGAGACGGGGACAGCGAGGAGAGAUGCCUAGGUUUGUGCGAUUUUUGAGAUGCAGAAGAAAUUAUGGGAUGAAGAACACUGCAUUAUGGGAUGUUGACCCCAUGCUUCCAGUAACCCCUGCAUGACUCAUUUCAGCCCCAUCAGAUAUUGAAAGAACUUUCCAAAAGAUGCUGUGCUGGAUCAUGGGGCUAACAACAAACCCCGAUGAUAGAUGUGGAUAGGGUGUUCCUCUAGACUGCUUCAACAGGUCCACUGGCAAGAGCCCUUCUUGGAGUUGAGGAUGAUGUCUGGCCCAGGACCAGCACUCCACCAUCUGCAGCUGCCGACAACCAUGUUUCUUUCCAGCUUGGAAGGAAUCAUCAUAUUCCAUGCAGCAACUCUUGCAGCUGUGGAAAUACUGCAGGAUCAAACUACAUGGAGUGUCUGCAGGCAAGCCAAUUAGAUCAUGGAUGUUUCAUGCUGACAAUACAACAGCCUUAAUGUCUACCUGAAGAACUCUGGUUGGGAAAUUAAUCGUGAUGACACAAUGGCCUUAUGUAACCUUCAUCUGGCAUGCAAAGCGCUAGUUUAUUAUGCCUGGCAUCAUUCUUUUAAAAUGUGACACAUUUAAUGGUGAUAAAGUAAACUUCUGAUUUGUUUCUUCAGUACAUGACAUUAAUCACACUGUCAAAUGCUUUUCAUGAUGUAGUUGUUCACAAAGGUCAAGCAGAAUAAUUCUAAAAAACAUCCCCACAGAAAUUACCUUUAUUGGUCCUCAGCAGAGAGGUCACGGAAACUAAGCUGUCCUCUAUCCCCUAGAUGAGGUUCUAAGACAGGAUUGAGGCACAUAGGUAGAGCAGUCCAGGAAAGCCUGUAAUUCUACUGUUCAUGCUACCUAUUCUGCAGCCAAAUAGAGGACUUCAAUUCUCCAGAGCUCUCAGUCUAGCAACUUUGAUGAGCACUAAAAAUUAACAAAUG